rnacentral:rRNA from 1 species
UACGUAGGGGGCAAGCGUUGUCCGGAAUCAUUGGGCGUAAAGCGCGUGUAGGCGGCUCAGUAAGUCCGCUCUGAAAGCCCGGGGCUUAACCCCGGGAGGCGGGUGGAUACUGCUGAGCUUGAGUCCGGAAGAGGCGAGUGGAAUUCCCGGUGUAGCGGUGAAAUGCGCAGAUAUCGGGAGGAACACCGGUGGCGAAGGCGGAUCUCUGGGCCUUACCUGACGCUGAGGCGCGAAAGCUAGGGGAGCGAACAGG